AUUGAACGCUGGCGGCAGGCCGAACACAUGCAAGUCGAGCGAGCGGAGGACGGGUGAGUAAUGCCUGGGAAUAGCCCAGGCGAGGGGGAUGACAGUUGGACAAGACUGCUAAUCCCGCUUACGAUUGGAUUGCCCAGGGGGGAUUAGCGAGUUGGUGAUGUAAUGGCUCACCAAGGCGCCGAUCCCGAGCUGGUCUGAGAGGAUGAUCAGCCACAAGGGAACUGAGACACGGUCCAGAAUCCUACGUGAGGCAGCAGUGGGGAAUAUUGGAAAAUGGGGGAAACCCUGAUGCAGCCAUGCCGCGUGUGUGAAGAAGGCCUUCGGGUUGUAAAGCACUUUCAGCUAGGAGGCGUUACUCGCAGAAGAAGCACCGGCUAACUCCGUGCCAGCAGCCGCGGUAAUAC
rnacentral:rRNA from 1 species